UGAUGGUAUUGUGUACAUUUUUAUAUAUUCUAUUGUAACUAUUUUAUUUGCUUCUCUAGGCUUUUCACUGAAAAGAAUGCCAAAUGCCUCUCGAAGUAAUAAAGAGACUGAACUAAUCUAAAAUUCUGUUUGAAACUCUCAAGUCACUUGGAACCAAUAUAUGUUAUCAUUAUCCCAUUCCAGUCUAUCCUCAUUCCUGUCCAUCCUCAAUUACCAAUAGACCAAAAAUUAUCAUCUUGUAUUGAAGCUUGAACAGUUAAGAAGGAAAAGGGUUAUAUCACAAGCGGCUUACAAUAAAUACUGUAUCUUGUCUACUUUUGAGGCUAAGGAUCAGCUUCCAUAAUGACUUACUGGAAUACUGUUUGAGGAUCAUACCCUACGUAAUGAUGGAACAUCAAGCAGAAUAUUAUCCUAUCCUAAACAUGGAUGUAUGAAUGACUCUCUGAAGUAGACCUAUUCCACUGGUCUUGAU
rnacentral:lncRNA from 1 species